GACGAACGCUGGCGGCGUGCUUAACACAUGCAAGUCGAACGGAAAUGCCCUGCUUUUGUGGGGUGCUCGAGUGGCGAACGGGUGAGUAACACGUGAUUAACCUGCCCUUGACUUUGGGAUAACUUCAGGAAACUGGGGCUAAUACCGGAUAGGAGCUCCUGCUGCAUGGUGGGGGUUGGAAAGUUUCGGCGGUUGGGGAUGGACUCGCGGCUUAUCAGCUUGUUGGUGGGGUAGUGGCUUACCAAGGCUUUGACGGGUAGCCGGCCUGAGAGGGUGACCGGCCACAUUGGGACUGAGAUACGGCCCAGACGCCUACGGGAGGCAGGAGGGGGGAAGAUUGCACAAUGGGCGGAAGCCUGAUGCAGCAACGACGCGUGCGGGAUGACGGCCUUCGGGUUGUAAACCGCUUUCGCCUGUGACGAAGCGUGAGUGACGGUAAUGGGGAAAGAAGCACCGGCUAACUACGU
rnacentral:rRNA from 1 species